GACGAACGCUGGCGGCGUGCCUAAUACAUGCAAGUCGAGCGAAUCAUUAGGAGCUUGCUCCUGAUGGUUAGCGGCGGACGGGUGAGUAACACGUGGGCAACCUGCCUGUAAGACUGGGAUAACACCGGGAAACCGGUGCUAAUACCGGAUAAUUCUUUCCCUCACAUGAGGGAAAGCUGAAAGUCGGUUUCGGCUGACACUUACAGAUGGGCCCGCGGCGCAUUAGCUAGUUGGUGAGGUAACGGCUCACCAAGGCGACGAUGCGUAGCCGACCUGGGAGGGUGAUCGGCCACACUGGGACUGAGACACGGCCCAGACUCCUACGGGAGGCAGCAGUAGGGAAUCUUCCGCAAUGGACGAAAGUCUGACGGAGCAACGCCGCGUGAGUGAUGAAGGCCUUCGGGUCGUAAAACUCUGUUGUUAGGGAAGAACAAGUAUCGGAGUAACUGCCGGUACCUUGACGGUACCUAACCAGAAAGCCACGGCUAACUACGUGCCAGCCGCCGCAGUAACAC
rnacentral:rRNA from 1 species